rnacentral:rRNA from 1 species
AGUGAACGCUGGCGGUAGGCCUAACACAUGCAAGUCGAGCGGCAGCACAGUAAGAGCUUGCUCUUACGGGUGGCGAGUGGCGGACGGGUGAGGAAUACAUCGGAAUCUACUUUUUCGUGGGGGAUAACGUAGGGAAACUUACGCUAAUACCGCAUACGACCUGCGGGUGAAAGCAGGGGAUCUUCGGACCUUGCGCGAUUGAAUGAGCCGAUGUCGGAUUAGCUAGUUGGCGGGGUAAAGGCCCACCAAGGCGACGAUCCGUAGCUGGUCUGAGAGGAUGAUCAGCCACACUGGAACUGAGACACGGUCCAGACUCCUACGGGAGGCAGCAGUGGGGAAUAUUGGACAAUGGGCGCAAGCCUGAUCCAGCCAUACCGCGUGGGUGAAGAAGGCCUUCGGGUUGUAAAGCCCUUUUGUUGGGAAAGAAAAGCAGCAGGUUAAUACCCCGCUGUUCUGACGGUACCCAAAGAAUAAGCACCGGCUAACUUCGUG